rnacentral:rRNA from 1 species
UACGGAGGGGGCUAGCGUUGUUCGGAAUUACUGGGCGUAAAGCGCACGUAGGCGGCUUUGUAAGUUAGAGGUGAAAGCCCAGGGCUCAACUCCGGAAUUGCCUUUAAGACUGCAUCGCUAGAAUUGUGGAGAGGUAAGUGGGAAUUCCGAGUGUAGAGGUGAAAUUCGUAGAUAUUCGGAAGAACACCAGUGGCGAAGGCGACUUACUGGACACAUAUUGACGCUG